CCUACGGGAGGCUGCAGUGGGGAAUAUUGGACAAUGGGCGAAAGCCUGAUCCAGCCAUGCCGCGUGUGUGAAGAAGGCCUUCGGGUUGUAAAGCACUUUUAGUGGGGAAGAAAGCCUUGGGGCUAAUACCCUCGAGGAAGGACAUCACCCACAGAAGAAGCACCGGCUAACUCCGUGCCAGCAGCCGCGGUAAUACGGAGGGUGCGAGCGUUAAUCGGAAUUACUGGGCGUAAAGCGCGCGUAGGCGGUCUGAUAAGCCGGUUGUGAAAGCCCCGGGCUCAACCUGGGAACGGCAUCCGGAACUGUCAGGCUAGAGUGCAGGAGAGGAAGGUAGAAUUCCCGGUGUAGCGGUGAAAUGCGUAGAGAUCGGGAGGAAUACCAGUGGCGAAGGCGGCCUUCUGGACUGACACUGACGCUGCGGUGCGAAAGCGUGGGUAGCAAACAGGAUUAGAUACCCCUGUAGUC
rnacentral:rRNA from 1 species